rnacentral:rRNA from 1 species
CCCUUAGAUGUUCUGGGCCGCACGCGCGCUACACUGAUGCAUUCAACAAGCCUAGCCUUGACCGAGAGGUCCGGGUAAUCUUUGAAACUGCAUCGUGAUGGGGCUAGAUUAUUGCAAUUAUUAAUCUUCAACGAGAAAUGCCUAGUAAGCGUGAUUCAUCAAAUCGCGUUGAUUACGUCCCUGCCCUUUGUACACACCGCCCGUCGCUCCUACCGAUUGAAUGUGUUGGUGAGGAGCUCGGAUUGGCAGCAGUUGGUGGUUCGCCACCGGCUAUUGCUGAGAAGUCCUCCAAACCGCCCCAUUUAGAGGAAGGAGAAGUCGUAACA